rnacentral:rRNA from 1 species
AUGCAAGUCGAACGGUAACAGGAAGAAGCUUGCUUCUUUGCUGACGAGUGGCGGACGGGUGAGUAAUGUCUGGGAAACUGCCUGAUGGAGGGGGAUAACUACUGGAAACGGUAGCUAAUACCGCAUAACGUCGCAAGACCAAAGAGGGGGACCUUCGGGCCUCUUGCCAUCGGAUGUGCCCAGAUGGGAUUAGCUAGUAGGUGGGGUAACGGCUCACCUAGGCGACGAUCCCUAGCUGGUCUGAGAGGAUGACCAGCCACACUGGAACUGAGACACGGUCCAGACUCCUACGGGAGGCAGCAGUGGGGAAUAUUGCACAAUGGGCGCAAGCCUGAUGCAGCCAUGCCGCGUGUAUGAAGAAGGCCUUCAGGUUGUAAAGUACUUUCAGCGGGGAGGAAGGGAGUAAAGUUAAUACCUUUGCUCAUUGACGUUACCCGCAGAAGAAGCACCGGCUAACUCCGUGCCAGCAGCCGCGGUAAUACGGAGGGUGCAAGCGUUAAUCGGAAUUACUGGGCGUAAAGCGCACGCAGGCGGUUUGUUAAGUCAGAUGUGAAAUCCCCGGGCUCAACCUGGGAACUGCAUCUGAUACUGGCAAGCUUGAGUC